rnacentral:tRNA from 1 species
UCCGAUAUGGUGUAGUGGCCAACAUGAUGCCCUCUCAUCUUUGCGAAGAGGUUAGGCAUAGCCCCGAGUUCGAUUCUCGGUUUCGGAA